rnacentral:rRNA from 1 species
GCCAGGGGGUUGCUAUACUUGCAGUCGAGCGGACAGAUGGGAGCUUGCUCCCUGAUGUUAGCGGCGGACGGGUGAGUAACACGUGGGUAACCUGCCUGUAAGACUGGGAUAACUCCGGGAAACCGGGGCUAAUACCGGAUGGUUGUCUGAACCGCAUGGUUCAGACAUAAAAGGUGGCUUCGGCUACCACUUACAGAUGGACCCGCGGCGCAUUAGCUAGUUGGUGAGGUAACGGCUCACCAAGGCGACGAUGCGUAGCCGACCUGAGAGGGUGAUCGGCCACACUGGGACUGAGACACGGCCCAGACUCCUACGGGAGGCAGCAGUAGGGAAUCUUCCGCAAUGGACGAAAGUCUGACGGAGCAACGCCGCGUGAGUGAUGAAGGUUUUCGGAUCGUAAAGCUCUGUUGUUAGGGAAGAACAAGUGCCGUUCAAAUAGGGCGGCACCUUGACGGUACCUAACCAGAAAGCCACGGCUAACUACGUGCCAGCAGCCGCGGUAAUACGUAGGUGGCAAGCGUUGUCCGGAAUUAUUGGGCGUAAAGGGCUCGCAGGCGGUUUCUUAAGUCUGAUGUGAAAGCCCCCGGCUCAACCGGGGAGGGUCAUUGGAAACUGGGGAACUUGAGUGCAGAAGAGGAGAGUGGAAUUCCACGUGUAGCGGUGAAAUGCGUAGAGAUGUGGAGGAACACCAGUGGCGAAGGCGACUCUCUGGUCUGUAACUGACGCUGAGGAGCGAAAGCGUGGGGAGCGAACAGGAUUAGAUACCCUGGUAGUCCACGCCGUAAACGAUGAGUGCUAAGUGUUAGGGGGUUUCCGCCCCUUAGUGCUGCAGCUAACGCAUUAAGCACUCCGCCUGGGGAGUACGGUCGCAAGACUGAAACUCAAAGGAAUUGACGGGGGCCCGCACAAGCGGUGGAACAUGUGGUUUAAUUCGAAGCAACGCGAAGA